rnacentral:rRNA from 1 species
UACGUAGGGGGCAAGCGUUGUCCGGAAUUAUUGGGCGUAAAGCGCGUGUAGGCGGCCAGAUAAGUCCGCUGUGAAAUCUCGAGGCUCAACUUCGAGCUGUCGGUGGAAACUGUCUGGCUAGAGUCCGGAAGAGGAGAAUGGAAUUCCUGGUGUAGCGGUGAAAUGCGCAGAUAUCAGGAAGAACACCCGUGGCGAAGGCGGUUCUCUGGGCCGAUACUGACGCUGAGGAGCGAAAGCGUGGGGAGCGAACAGG